CGCUUUGGUAAUUAAUUGUUACUGCAGUGAAAUUGGUUACAAGUGGACACAUUGAAGAAGCUGAGGAUUUGAUGAAGAUUCCCUCGUGUUUCCAGUUAUCCAUCGCAAACUUUGUGUAUACUUGCUAUAAUAGUGCCAACAAGAUCAAAACUUCCAGGCUGCAAGAAUUUACUGACUGCAAAUAUGUAUGGGAAGGUAGCUUGGGCUGAGACUGGUACAGAACCAUUGUUGAAAACCUGGGCAGUAAGAUUCUGAACAUACAGACGAUGAUCGACAGGAAGGUGAAUGCUGGCCUUGAUCGAGAUGGACUGACGCCUCUUGAAAUAGAAGGAGAUACCGUUGUGGUCCUACUAGGAACAGAUUUGAGAAGUCUUAGUGCCUGGAAGCUGUCAUCAAAUGAUUUCACUUCGCUUCCUAUUCUACCAUUUUCAACAAGUGACAAUAGCCUUGCAACUCAGUAGCAGUUUUCUGCAAGGGCCUACUUGCAUCACCUGGUAACGACAAUCUUCUAAGUGAAGAUACACCAAU